ACCGGGCGGGUAAUGUUGGGAGAGAGGAACUGCUGAACCGUUUGAAAGGAAACGUCGAUUGGAGCUGGAGCAGUGAGUGACGUUAUCUGGUGGGAAGAGGGAGGGAGAAAGAGAGACGGCUGGACUCCAUUAGCUGAAGCCAGGAGGCACUUUGGGAUACUUCAAUUGGACGCGUUUUUUGGGGGAUAUUCUCUUUGAAAAGACCCAGAUAGUCUACAUUAUUUAGAAAAUCUGGUUGACUAUCGAAACCUCGGAAGUUUAAGUGGCUUUUUGGAUUUGGUUGGUGUAUUUGAGAAGGAUGGCGCUGGACGGUAUACGGAUGCCCGAUGGCUGCUAUGCGGACGGAACGUGGGAACUGAAGAUGCACGUGACAGACCUCCAUAGGGACGUGUCUCUGAGGGUCACCGGCGAGAUCCACAUCGGUGGGGUCAUGCUCAAACUCGUGGAGAAACUCGAUGUGAAGAAGGACUGGUCGGACCACGCCCUGUGGUGGGAGAAGAAGAAGACGUGGCUGCUGAAGACCCACUGGACCCUGGACAAGUAUGGUAUCCAGGCAGAUGCCCGGCUCCUCUUCACCCCCCAGCACAAGCUGCUGCGCCUGCAGCUGCCCAACAUGAAACACAUGAAGGUCAAGGUCAACUUCUCCGACCGCGUCUUCAAGGCCGUCUCUGACAUCUGCAAGACUUUCAACAUCCGUCACCCAGAGGAGGCGUCUCUACUCCGUAAGCCCCGCGACCCCAAGAAGAAGAAGAAAAAGCUGGAGGAGGCUGAGGAGGCGGCUCUGGAGCUGGAGGGGCCACUGCUCACCCCUGGAUCAGGUACCUCUGAGAUCAUUUACAUUGGGCCGGUCAAAGGAAGCAUCUACUCCAGUCCAGGCCUGUACAGUAAGACCAUGACCCCCACUUAUGACUCCAGAGACGGCAGCCCCCUGUCCCCCACCACCGCCUGGUUCGGAGAUAGCCCCCUUUCUGAGGGCAAUCCCAGCAUCCUUGCUGUCAGCCAGCCAAUAUCCUCGCCCGAUAUCCUGGCUAAACUCUACAAGUCCCAGUCCCUCCUGGACAAGGCCAAGAUCAACCAGGGGUGGCUGGACUCGUCCAGGUCUCUGAUGGAGCAGGAUGUCAAGGAGAACGAGGUGCUCCUCCUGCGGUUUAAAUACCACAGCUUCUUUGACCUCAACCCCAAGUACGAUGCCAUCCGGGUGAACCAGCUCUAUGAGCAGGCCAAGUGGGCCAUCCUGCUUGAGGAAAUAGAGUGCACUGAGGAGGAGAUGAUGAUGUUCGCCGCUCUGCAGUACCACAUCAACAAGCUGUCUAUCAUGUCGUCAGGAAACCACAUGAACAACAGUGAGAAGGAGGUGGACGAGGUGGACGCUGCCCUGUCAGACCUGGAGAUCACCCUGGAGGGAGGCAAGACCUCCAAUACCCUGGGUGAUAUCACGUCCAUUCCUGAACUGGCCGACUACGUCAAAGUCUUCAAGCCAAAAAAGCUGACACUGAAAGGCUACAAGCAGUACUGGUGCACAUUCAAGGACAUCACAAUUUCCUGCUACAAGAGCAAAGAGGAGGCUCAUGGGACACCCUCCCUCCAAAUGAAUCUAAGAGGUUGUGAGGUAACACCAGAUGUGAACAUUUCCAGUCAGAAAUUCAACAUAAAGUUGCUAAUCCCAGUGGCUGACGGCAUGAACGAGAUCUGGCUGCGGUGUGACGCUGAGAAGCCAUAUGCCCACUGGAUGGCAGCGUGCCGCCUGGCCUCUAAGGGGAAGACCAUGGCAGACAGCUCCUAUAGCCUGGAGGUCCAGAACAUUCUAUCCUUCCUCAAGAUGCAGCACAUGAACCCUGACCCGCAGUUCAUCGCCGAGCCAGCUGUCACCAACGACAUCAACUCUGAGUGCCUGGUGUCGCCGCGCUACCUGAAGAAGUACAAGAACAAGCAGAUACCGACUGCUGCUGGUUUCUCUCCCUAUGGAGACUGCUGCUCGUUUCUCUGCCCAUGGAGACUGCUGCUGGUUUUCUCUCCCCAUGGAGACUGCUGCUGGUUUUCUCUCCCCAUGGGGACUGCUGCUGGUUUUCUCUCCCCAUGGGGACUGCUGCUGGUUUUCUCUCCCCAUGGGGACUGCUGCUGAUUUUCUCUCCCCAUGGAGACUGCUGCUGGUUUUCUCUCCCCAUGGGGACGGCUGCUGGUUUUCUCUCCCCAUGGGGACGGCUGCUGGUUUUCUCUCCCCAUGGGGACUGCUGCAUGAUCCUGCAGAGAUCAAAAUGUUCCUGUUAAUUUAGCCUGUUCUGAUUAUGCUACGUUGUUUUGAAGCUGUUUUCUUUGCUGAUUGGCCUUGUUCUCAUUUGCUUGUUUUUCUUUGUUCUUUCCUUCUGUUUUCUCUUCCCUCUUUUUGUGUUGUCCUCCCAUCCCUCCGUCUGCCUCCUUCCCUCUUCAGCCAGGCUAUAUCAGGGACCUGAUUUCGGCCCGGAUCCUAGAGGCCCACCAGAACGUGGCCCAGAUGAGUCUGAUCGAGGCCAAGAUGCGCUUCAUCCAGGCAUGGCAGUCCCUGCCUGAGUUUGGCAUCACUCACUUCCUGGCCAAAUUCCAGGGUGGGAAGAGGGACGAGCUGAUUGGCAUCACCUAUAACCGUCUCAUCCGGAUGGAUGCCAGCACCGGAGACGCCAUCAAGACCUGGAGGUUUGCCAACAUGAAGCAGUGGAAUGUCAACUGGGAGAUCAAGAUGGUGACGGUGGAGUUUGCAGACGAGCCUAGCCUGGCUUUCAUAUGUGCGGAGGUGGACUGUAAGGUGGUACAUGAGUUCAUCGGAGGCUAUAUCUUCCUGUCCACGCGCGCCAAAGACCAGAACGAGUCUCUGGACGAGGAGAUGUUCUACAAGCUGACCAGCGGCUGGGUCUGAGUCUGACUACCUGACCCCCUGGGUCAGAGUUUAGGGUAAAGAGGGGAGGGUGGUGGCUACAUCAAAUGGGUUUAUUUUAUUUGUUAUAAAGUUUUGGUGGUUUUAAAUGGAACCAUGCUUUAGAGCCCCAUGCAGCCACCCAUUAUUGCCAUUGUUGUUAAGAAGCUGAUGCCCUUUAUUUUUGUUGCAUUAACACUAAUCUGCGCAACGCUGCAGCCCAGACUAACUCCAAACCCUGCCUGUGGCUCCCCCAUCGCCCACAUUAUUUGACAGGAAGUUGGGAGUCGUCCCCCUCCCAUGACCCCUCUCCACUCACCCAUCCCGCUCCAAUGCACUGGGGACAGCAGCCUCUUCCUCAAGCAGCUAUCAAAAAGCUAGGUCCAUGAGAACCUAUCACAUGUCAUCAGGAGACCAUUCCAAAGACUCUUUCUUAAUCCCCCUUCUACUCUGACUCCCCUGAAGGAACUGAUCAAAUUGACCCUUCAACCUCAUCAUAAUCUGACCAGCCCACAAAACCAUGUAUCAGUUCGUAUGAAGAAUCACAUUAUUUAUUUAUCCCUGUUUUGAUUUAUUGUUGUCAUUUUGGUGAGGUGUGGUACUGUUCGGAGUCUUUGAAGUGGUGUGUUGUGGUUUGUGUACUGCCUGACAUCCUGUGUUAUGAUACUGUCUAAUUUAUGCUGCAGAGUGCCACCUCACUCUCACGUAUUGUACAUCCACAUAUUCACUCAGUUUGGUGUGACUAUAGGCAGUAGUAAUCCGCAGAGUAAGAGUAUCAGCAAAACAGUGACAAGCUUUUACUUUCUCAGCAGAGACAGGAAGUGAUAUGAGGUCAUUUCCUUCCGCCGUUAAGGAAAGGCUAAGGAACGCAGAGCUCAUGGAGAGAAUUGGGCACCGUGUCCUCUCCACUCGAUGAAGGAUUCUCACUUUGAUCUAACUAGUCCAUAUGAAGUCACACUUCUGCAGUAAGCACUUCUCCAGUAUAUGUAUGAUCCCUGGUCACACUUGAUUUGGAUAGUCUGGAUUUUCCAUCUGUGGAUGCUCUACAGAUAGCAUGGCCAUCUGUUGAUAAGCAACUGCUUGCUGAGGUAACAGUUAGGGUAAUGGUUAAGUGUAGAAUAAGGGUUAGGGUUAGGGGAGUCUGUAGCACAUCCCUUAAUGAAUAAGCUGUAGUUCAAUUCAUUGUUCUUUUUGUUUGAUCAUACCUCCAGUGAGUGUCUCCUAUCCUCUGUGUGAAACACUACAACAGCUAACAAGUGUGUUUGGAGAGUUUAAACAGCCUUGGUAUACACCUACUGUAGCGCUUCUCUGUCUGCAUUAGUUAACAUGUCAGCACAACAGGAGCUCAAGCAGGGUGAAUGUCCUGUAGUUUUUUAUCUGUAAACCGCUGAAUAACCAUGACUAGUUCUCAUAGCUACUCAAGGUUGAAGGGGUCACUCAAGGAUACUCUGUUUGAGAUGGAAUUUUAAUGGGCAAGUUCUGAGGCAAUUACUGAAAAUGUAAAUAAGAACGUUGUCAUGGAACAUGUGGUGCCCAAAUGAUUUGGCUCAGAUACAUACUGCCAGCCAUAUAGGGUUGUCCAGCGUCCACAGCAUGAAGGAAAGACCUCCGCUCUGCCUUGAGACUCAGACCCUUGCAAAUGCAUUGUGCGUGUGUAGUACAGCAGGAGGGAUACUACCAUUAAUAACAGCAUUCCCAAGUGCAGCCUCUUUUAAAUGCCAUUCUUUAUCUUACACCAUAUAGUGUUAUUAUUCAGCACCAUCAUUAUUACGCACCAGCAACAGGUCACCAAGUUUGAAGAAUUAAUUAUGCAAAGUCUUUUUUCUUUGCCCUCUGUAUGAACGAACAUUAAAUGAAGUAUUAGUUUUUUGUAACUGAUGUAAAAGGUUUUCUACAAUUGUACAGUUCUUUUGUUGCUGCUUUUUCUUGUUGUUUUUUUGGGAAGUGUGUUUUUGUUUGCAGAAAAGAGAGGGAAAGCCAUCUGUCAACAUUAUGUAGUAUGAAAAUGUGUGCCUGCCAAUGUUACGGUCUUGAGUUUUUAACAUUAAGAUAUAUAUAGAUAUAUAUAUUCUCAAACUCCAGGUUGUUUGGGAUUUAAUUCAGAUUUUUCUCACACUAGAUAUUAUUACCCAAACAUUAAAAGGGCUUUUCAAUGUACUUUUUUAUUGUUGCCUCUCCUAUAAGCUGAAUUACAUUGCUAUUCUAUUUUCUUGCAUUUUUUGGGGGCACUGAUCUUACUCUCUAGCUCUGUAAACUACCACCAAUGACACAUCCCUAGGUUGCCAAACCCUUACUCUGCUGUUCAGUGCCUUUUCCAAAAUGUAUCACUUCAUUUUCAGAUCUGAUAACUUGUAGCUUUUAAUUGAGUAAUGUUUUUGGUAUGAAGGAGACACUUUUUGUUAAAGUAGACCUUUGAGUUUGAGACAAACGGCCGUAAGUGAACUGAAGUAAAAGAAGCGAACUUAGCCUAGUUUUUUCCUCCUAUAACAGUUGUUUGUUUGCCUCCAAUGUCCAGAGCAGCAGUGCAUGGCCGGCUGUUUUCAGACUGUAAAAAAAAUGCAUUUAUUUAAAAAAAAAUAAACGUUUUUAUUUAA